rnacentral:rRNA from 1 species
UACGUAGGUGGCAAGCGUUGUCUGGAAUUAUUGGGCGUAAAGCGCGCGCAGGCGGUUUCUUAAAUCUGAUGUGAAAGCCCACGGCUCAACCGUGGAAGGUCAUUGGAAACUGGGAGACUUGAGUGCAGAAGAGAAGAGCGGAAUUCCACGUGUAGCGGUGAAAUGCGUAGAGAUGUGGAGGAACACCAGUGGCGAAGGCGGCUCUUUGGUCUGUAACUGACGCUGAGGCGCGAAAGCGUGGGGAUCAAACAGG